UUUUAGCGCAAGGGCUAGCGGCGAUAUGGAUCGAGGUUCCGUAGGUUUGGAACUUGGAUGUUUUGGAAUCCGAGAGCUCGUACGCGAUCAAUCUAACGAGAGAGUUUUGAGCAGUUCCUCAUGCAGUAUCCACUUUCGUUUUA